CGAUUACUUCAUUUUCUUCACUGGAUGAGGUUUUCGCGCUGGACACAUUUCGACCCUUGCGACGAAAGGAUUUCUCUACAGGCAAAGAUAUGAAAACUUCGCUCCACAAUUGCUGGCUAAAACAGGCAUUUAAUGAUUCAGACACUGCCGAUUUUGCUUUCGUUGUGGAGGGAAAGAAAAUUCACGUCCACAAAACGAUCCUGAUACUCCGCUGUGUCGUCUUCAAGACGAUGUUUCUGGGCGAUUGGAAGGAAAGUCACGAAAACGAGCAUACGAUCGAGGGGCGCAGUUUCGACGCUUUCUUUGCCUUUUUGAAAUACUUCUAUACCGACGAGCUUGACGUGCUGCCAGAAAAAGCUAUUGAGUGUCUCUGCCUGGCCCACUUCUACCAAAUGAGUGAGCUUCAAGUGGAGUGCGAGAGGCUGGUUAAAACUGGCGUGACAGUGGAUAAUGCAGCUUCUAUUUACGACAAGGCUUUCUUGAUUGGCAGCAAGGAAUUCAAGACUUUCGUGUUUGACUUUUGCUUGAAAAAUCUGACUGCGGUUGUGACAAGCGACAAUUUUAAAAAAUUGAGCGAGCAGGUAGCCAGGGAUUUCUUCCAACGUGCUGCUGAACAAGGAGGCUUUAAGAAUUGAUUGAAUUGGGGUGGCUAGAAUGAUUAUGGUAGAAUUUUUCUGGUGUACAACUUUAAAUAUGUCAGGGUAUCUUUUGUUUAAAUAUAUGUUCGUUGUCUGAAGGACAAUCUAAAUAAAUUGAACUGUUAUUUUUCAUCUAAAUG